UUUUUAUAUAUAGGAUACUUUUUGCUCAUAACUGGCCUAAUGUUCAUGACAACCUCAUAUGAUGGAUAUCCUCCUUCCUAUUUCCCAGAUAAAAACAGUGAGGCUUAGGAAAGUUCACAGCCUCACCUCACCGCCACUCUGCUGUUAAUCCUGAAAUGAACACCCUAACCCAAAUUUCAUCUAACGAGCAUCUCUGUGCCCCUAACAAAGGGACAGCUAACAGUCUUUGCAGGGGAGCCAGCGAUCCGGUCAGUUCAUUUUCCAUGUCCUGGUGUCCUUCCGUCUGCUUGUUCUGCUCGCUUUGAAAAUGUUGUGCUCAUUAGCAUCCCCAUCGCACACCGAAGAAAGGCAGGACCGAGAGAGCUGCUUCUGCCUGCUUCAAAGCAGCGGAACAGAUAAAUAAGGAAGAAGGCUUGGAAAGCACACCGGAACCUUCAACAUCACAGGAAGAAAAAAAAAGAAAAGAAAAGAAUUCAAGCCAUGAAGAUAAAGAAAGGGCAGAAGAAGAGAACAUAACAUCAACUAAUCAUUACAUGUAAGUACAACUUUUUCAGAUCCCCAUUUUCAUUAUUACCGUCCAUGAAUGUUUAACGAUGGCUUGCGAGACCCAUUGUUCCCAUGCUUUCUUCCCUGUAAUGUGGCUGCAGAUAUCGGCUCUGAUCCGAUGGUUAUUUCAUAGAGUCCCCAGGAUAUUGGGUGGUGGCAGAUGCAGGCAACGUAUCGGGGUCUUGUCGGUGAGAUGUGGUCCGUGGGAGGUGGUUCAGUGGCUGAGAGACCUGUCACAGGCCACAGGUGGCAGAGGCGUGGGGAGUGGUGACAAGAAGCCAGUCAUGCCUCCAGGGCGGGAGGGAUCAGGGCAUGGGUGGUGUUGCCCACACCGUGGUGGGAGCUGGAACCAUAGGAGAGUCAGUACCAGCCAAAGGAUGCAACCCGAAGCAGAGAGGAGGAGGAAGAAAGAUCCCGGCGUCUCCUUUCUUCCUCCUCCUGGCAGCUCUCGAGGAGCCAGCUGGCGAGGGGGCCCGGGACGCAGACCCCGGGGAAGGCAGGGCGUGGGGUGGGCUGACAGCCAGCAAGCCAACACCAGUGCAGGCAGACACUGGCUGAACUUCACGAUCCCCAGACUAUCUUUAUUUUGCACGAGCAGAUGGAUGCUGUCUUGGCUUGCCACAGUGUUCUUGGUUCUGGUCCUGGUCUUCUCCAUGAUUUAUAAUAUUGCUCCACUGCCAUCCAGCUACCAGGCUUUUCCAUAAAGAAUCUGAUUUCAUUUUUAUGUUCCCCAUCACAAAAUGCACAUUAUAUUUCCUUUUCUCUUGGAAUUCAGGAAUUAUACCAGACAGGUCGCCAACUAAUCCUGGGAUUUGGGGCAGCCUUUCAAACUACAGAUUUUUUUUUUUUUAAGAUUUUAUUUAUUUAUUUGAGAGAGAGAGAGUGAGAGAGCACAAGAGGGGGGAGCAGGAGAGGGAGAAGCAGACUCCUCGCCGAGCAGGGAGCCCGAUGCGGGACUCGAUCCCGGGACUCCAGGAUCAUGACCCGAGCCGAAGGCAGUCGCCCAACCAACUGAGCCACCCAGGCGCCCUCAAACUACAGAUUUGACUGUGUUUUCACCUGCGGCUAAUUCUCUGUAUUUGGUCUGCUUUCCCUCCUUUCAGGAUUCUCAUCACUCAUGGGUUGCCUCUCCAGCAUCUUUCCUCCAGGUCACUUACAUCAUUUUCUUCACAAUUCCCAUUACCAUGUUUUUACCUUAGAGACUUUUUCCACCUGUUUCUCAAAACAAGGAAUAGGGUUUCUAAACUAGGCUUUCUGGGAGGUUAUCAUUUCUUUACAUAUUCAAAUAUGGUGCAGCUCAUAGCAGGUGCCUAGUAAGCACCUGUGGAUGAAAGAAUCUAUCAACUAGUCAGUAACAUAGUUAUUUUCAGUUUGCAGAUUACAGAAUAUGUGGAGGUAGGUAUAGAGGUAUAACGAUGUGGGUGUACAUGUAGAUGACUGUUCAAAUAUAAAAAUAAUGCUGCACUUGGAAACGUUUGGAUUUCUAAGAGUUACACAGAACACACAAAUAGGACUCUUACAUAAAGGCAAUCACGGAAUGAUAUACAAGCAAAUAUAGACUUUUCAGUGCAUUCUGCCAUUAAUUUUUUUUCUUUUCUAGUUCAAAACAGGAAGCAAUGGCCGAUGGCGUGCAUAAAUUUAUUGACCGUUGUACUUAAUAGAAAUCUAUGGGUUUCAAGCAGAACACAAUUUUUUGAGUUCUAUUUUUUUUUAUGAAACCAUUUGAAAUGUUACUUUGUUUUCUCAACUGGGAAUGAAUAUAAUCAUGCUAUUUUAAGGAACAGUUUUUUAAUGAUAUAGAGGAGACUAGAAUUUUAAAAGAGAAUCUGUGUGAUGUUUUAACCAUAUCAAUGUUAAAGCCCCUUUUAUAGAGCACCCAGCAGCGUGCCCAGCGCCCACUCAUCAUGAAUAAGGACAAUGGAAGUGCUUACCUAAGUAUUGCAGACACAUUUGAUUUGUAAAUGCGCAUGUUUAUGGAAUUCUCCAUCUUUAUCCAUUAAUUGG